rnacentral:tRNA from 1 species
GCCCAGCUCUGGCUCAGUCAGUAGAACAUGAGACUCUUCAUCUCAGGGUCGUGGGUUUGAGUCCCAUGUUGGGCA